CCCUUAGAUGUUCGGGGCUGCACAUGCGCUACACUGAAGGAAUCAACGUGUAUUUGCCCUUGCCCGAAAGGGUUGGGUAACCCGUUGAACCUCCUUCGUGCUAGGGGUUGGGGCUUGUAAUUAUUCCCCAUGAACGAGGAAUUCCCAGUAAGCGCGAGUCAUAAGCUCGCGUUGAUUACGUCCCUGCCCUUUGUACACACCGCCCGUCGCUACUACCGAUUGAAUGGUUUAGUGAGAUCCUCGGAUUGGUCCCGCCACGGGAGGAAACUUUCGAGGCGGAGUGCCGAGAAGACGAUCAAACUUGAUCAUUUAGAGGAAGUAAAAGUCGUAACA
rnacentral:rRNA from 1 species